UGCGGUAGAUUAUUUCUUUUCAGAGGAACCUGUUCUUUAAAAGACAAUACACUAUUUAUUUUACUUUAUUUUAUUUUAUAUACCGUUGUUUUAAAAAUUAAUCAUUUGAUUAAUUUAAUAUUUUUAUUAAAAAGAAAUUCAAAUCAAGGUUUAGUUUAUAAUAAAGAAGAAAUGGGUUACAUUUUAUUUAUAAGCGGAUUUAAGAAGUUGGAUUUGAAAGUAAAUUUAUUUAUUAAUUUUUUUUAAUUAAGCUCUAAUUU
rnacentral:rRNA from 1 species